UCCGGUUUGUCACCGGCAGUCUCGCAUGAGUCCCCAACUAAAUGCUGGCAACAUGCGACGGGGGUUGCGCUCGUUGCGGGACUUAACCCAACAUCUCACGACACGAGCUGACGACAGCCAUGCACCACCUGUGAAGGUCCAGCCAAACUGACCUCGUGUUUCCACGGGUACGACCUACAUGUCAAGCCCAGGUAAGGUUCUUCGCGUUGCGUCGAAUUAAACCACAUGCUCCGCUGCUUGUGCGGGUCCCCGUCAAUUCCUUUGAGUUUUAGCCUUGCGGCCGUACUCCCCAGGCGGGGCACUCAUUGCGUUUGCGUCGGCGCGGGAGGGGUCGAUACCCCCCACACCUGGUGCCCACCGUUUACAGCGUGGACUAC
rnacentral:misc_RNA from 1 species